rnacentral:lncRNA from 1 species
AUCUGUUUGUGGUAAAGCAUUUAUAAAUAAAAUAUUAAUAUUGAAUUUUAUGUUAAUAGUUGGUAAUAUUUUAGCAAAGUACUCAUCUAAGAUUGAUGUUUUUCCUUUUUCUGGUGAAGAUAUUGUAAAAGGUAUGAUCAAAGUUCUAAUUCUCAUCUUUAAAUAAAGUUUUCUCAAUACAUAAAAAAGAGUUGAGGCUCGAACCUCAAACCACCUACUUAAAAUAUUGAGUCCCUUUGCACUAACACAUAUUGAUAUUUUACUUUUUGUUUUGAAACGAUAUUUUACUAUUUAGUUUUAGAUAUAACCAAAUGAUUAACUUAUAAUUUUAUUUUUAAUUAAAUUUUGAAUCAACUCAAUCUCAUCUUUAAUAGACUUGAUCUUAAAUAGAGUCGAGCAGAAUUUAAGAGGAUUUUAAACACAUUUAGGAUGUCUCAACUCUCUUACUCUCAUUCAACUAAUAGUAAUAGUUCAAAAAAUUGGUUUGGCUUCUCAAGCUUCUAACAGUUAGCAUUUGGAGCAUCUUGCAGUGUAGCAUAAAGUCGUGAUGUCGGACUCAAGGCUGCAGUAUCGACUCAGCGUAGAAAAGAAGAAGAAAAAGAAAAAAAAAACUUAAUAAUAAAACUUGCGGUUGUAUUUGGAGUUGUUAACUUUGGCGUAAAAUGAAGAUUACAGGGAAAAUACAGUGACAUGUAAUUGUUACAUUAUAGCUUACCACAUUAUCAAUAUCAAGC